GGACUCUGGACUUGUACCGGCCGAGUAUACAACGGAAACGAGGAGCGAUAGGUUUCGAACAAGGAUAGUGGAGGCCGCUGUGUGGUUUCGGGUGAAACGGUUCGCUUGAUCGAUUAGAUUCUUCUUCAUGGGUUCCUUCCGCUCUAGCUCUACCGAUCGAUACCCCGGAGUGAGCCGAGGCAGUGCUGGAAGUAGGACGGCUUCUAGACCACCCGUACGAAAACCGUUUUCGGUCUAGAAGCUCUACGUCAGCUAAGGAACUUCGACGUCGUAUUCGUAUAGGACCCCUUCUAAGCUCUUAUGGCGCGGUAUUCGCUUGCAAAGUCGCUAUAACCCCCUUGGGACCUACUCGUAUAACGUCUAGACUCUGCGUACCGUUUACUUUACCUCCUGACGUAUCUGUCGACGGUAUAGCGCCUCCGCUGUUCUUGCGCACGUCUCGAAGAAUCUUUCUAAGGAGCAGAGUUCCUUUCUAGGCUUUUUGACCUUCACCUAAUAUUCCCAGGUCCCUUUAGGUGGCCUCCCCUUUGUUGCUGGAGUUCUUUUCUUCGUUCAUUACCUCGAAGACCUGUACCCGUUAGUAUAAGACCUCCACCGAAGGCUCAACAUUUUGGCAGGACACGACUAGGCCACCUGUACCUGCCAGGUUAGUUCCUUGAAGACCUGGACCACUUCUUUAGCCUAUCGUUUGGCCUUUCAUUCGUCGAGUUCCACUAGAGGUAGAGACCGAAGCCACCGAACCCAUUCUGAGAGGAACGGCUGUUUCAAAUGAAGGUACUUCUACACACGCGCGUCAAGUCCCACGCGCGAACGCAGCUCCGGCGCCCUUUCUCGGUACUGGUUCAAGAGCUCCUCUAUGAGUUCGUUCAUGGGCCCUGAUCACGAUUACUACUUCUCUAUGGUGUUUUACCGCUCGUUUCACACUUGCUGUUCCCGUUCUUUCAGGUCUAACUACCUCACUGUGCUGUUUUACCGCUCGGACCAGUACCAGUUCGGUGUGUUGGUUCAUGAUCGCUUGCAGAGUCUAGUAGGGAGUUCUUACUUGCUUCCUCAUCAGAACACCAACACCCUCGCCGGUGCUGUGACACCGACAUCUCGUCUUACCUAGAUGAGGCAGGCAUGGUAUUAUAUUCUGUACAUACGUCAAGUUUACGAGGUCUCCAUCAUGCAUGAAUAGACAAGGAUUUAAACAGAGAAUGUCCAAAAACUAAUAUUAACACCUGUAGGUUCUCUUAUCCCCGCUUUAUCGCUAUCGUAGACAAAAUUUCCCAGAACCACUACACGUGUCGUCCCAAUAGCAGUGCUGUUGGUAAGUCUCGUAUCGUUGUUCGACCCGUAGAGGUUUGUUGGUAAACAUAGGAUACUCAUGUGAAUUAUUUCAGGUGACCCUUCUCGACAAGAAGUCUCUUAAACUACUUCCCUUUACGUUUUUCGGUAGCCUCUACCCCGUCAAUUCAAGUGACUUCAGUGAAGACCUCUUUACACUGCCGGAAGGAGAACGAGACUAGUCGUGACGUUUUCAAAACUCACCUUGACUUGACCUGUUAUUUCGUACAUGUCUUCGGACCUUCUUCGAAACACUGUAUUUUGUACUGCUUUGUUCGUGCAAUGUCUUUUACGUUGCCCACGAUCGGUCGUGGACGCGACCAGAUAGACCGUGAUUGCAUGGAGGAUGGGAGUAACUAACGAACGAGAUAAAGUCGUACAAGGGUGGUUUAGUAGUACAGUCCUUCUUAAGAGAUUAUUCCGCUACCGACCGACUUCCUUACUUUGUGUUACAACUGUCCUUCCUUAAAUUAAAUCUUCUCGUGUAACUCACUGAGUAGCUGGCUUCAUAGUAAGUCGGGUACCUUCACUCGUGCGCCCCACUGCACUUCCCUACGUUUCGAAGAUCAGAUUACAUGCUCAUGUAAAAGGUGUCUAGAUUCAGACUCCUUAAGUACCGUCACGAGAGACUACACUACCUGUUACCCAAACUUGCUUUCCCUAUACAGGCGGCCGAAAGAUAGGUACGAUGUCUUUGACCCUAACGUCUUCUCUCUAACGGGCUACUAAAUAGGGUAGAGGUAUGAGACCGCCAUAAGCCGUGACUCUUCGGUCUUCAAUGCUUCCUAGAACGGUUACCAAACAAACCCUUGUUUCCCCAAGAACGGUUCAUAUUUUAUGAAGCCCACAACCUAAACUUUCUUACACGGCCAUACUUUCCUUUUGUAGAAGUUUGAUAUACACUGGACAACGACGACUUUAUAGACUCGGAGCCCCUGUCAUAACAAGCCCAAGGUUCCUUUUAUCGCGUCGAAUUUGACAACCUUUGUGAGCUAGAUUCGUCUUGGUUACAUCACUGUCACAUGUACGUUCAGAACCCCGAGGGGUCAAAUUGCGUGGAAGAACCCUUUCAAGCCAACAGGUUUACCCUGACGUAUAAGUCUUACCUUUUCGACUUUUCCAAGCACUCCUUAUUUACAUUCAACCUAUGGGAACCUCCUAAGUGGUGGCCGUUCUCGCUUCGUAAAGGCGUUGACUAUCCAGUAUACGCCGUUAACUUAUUCCACUUUUAUACCUAGGUAGGGCGGCGACUAUGGUCUUUGAACCUUGUAGAUUGUCUUCCGUAGUUCCUUAAGUAAUCUUUUUCGUCCAAGCUUUCGUUACAACCAGCGAGUGAUAGUCAACUGAAGAGUCUUACGCAUGUACUUGUACGUCUUGCUAGGAACCUAAAGGAAUUUGUUUUACACUUGUAAGGUCUGUUAUUAUGGGUUCCCCGAGUUUAAUGUGUACUUCCUCUACGUUUAGUUACAGAGCCUUCGUUACGACCGUCAUGCUCGUUAGUUUAGUACUUAUAGUUUUUGUUAUAGGUUCUCGUCGUCUGUCUUCUUUAUGUUCUCGGGUUUGUUCCACGGGGGAGACUGAGACUCCUACGGACAAGGUCUUUACUUUGACUCUACUACGUUUUGGUAGUCUUAUAGGCUCUUCCUAUACUGUUUACGGGGUUGUUCGAAAGGAGCGAGUUUGAAACACCGUUCGACUGUUUUAAGGGAGAAGUUAAACAGUGUCUCUAACGACCAUAACUCUCCAACACGGAAAGUAGAUGUCCAGACAGACCCCUCUUAUAACGUAUGCGAGAUUCACUUAACGGGCUGGACAAAAUAGAUUUCGACGCACUUCUACUGAAUUCAGAGGAGCUGGACGUUUUAUUCGUUAAAGGCUCGGAGGCCGCGUAAACGAAAAGACACUUUCUACCAUUAGACGGCGCGGGUUGUUAGUAGUUUGUGAAGGUAUUAGAAGCGCUUCACAUAGACAUACGAUUAGACUUAAUACUUCUUUCCGCGUCGACCUUUCGUCGAAGUCUCUCAGUAGGACUUUCCGGUUCCCAAAUAAAGCGGCUUUCGUGUACGUUCCCUUGAAGAAGGCUCCGACACUGGGUUUCGGUCAUUACUUGUAGGAGGCGAAGUGCGUUCUCUACUCCGUUUUGACACACGGUGGUUGUACUUCUUAUAAAAGUCAAACUACGCGGCUACGUGGUUUUACUGUGAAGUCAAGUAUAAAUGAGAAGUUCAAAGAGAGGAUUUCAAACAACGACCAGUAUAAUUCGUACCAGUACAACAACGUAAAUGGAAUAGGUUUAACGCAUACGUAAACAAUAACAACAUACAGAAAGGAUUAGGCUUAAGCACCCUUCUAACAUGUAAGUGAGGGAUUCGGUUG
rnacentral:rRNA from 1 species